rnacentral:lncRNA from 1 species
CCCCAUCAGGGUGAAAAAGGGUUUCAAGAUUUGAAGAGUGGAUUCCAAAUUUGGUGAUCCGAGUCAACGAAUGCGCAAGGAUUCGAUUUAUCCUCCGCACAUGACCAAGCACAUUGAAAUUCCCGUGUUGUGUGCUCGCAGACAAUUAGUAGUGGAUCUCUGCGAGACCCAACUGGCGGUGGAUUAGGUUGUGUCGUAGCAAUUUUUUUUAUUACUGUUUUUUUUCUUUUCUUUUCUUUUUUGUUUUGUUUUGUUUUGUUUUUGUUUCCCCUUUUGUUGCGUUGACUGAUUCCUGCUACACGAGAGGUUAUCAAUGGCAUCCAAGUGUUCACCUGGAUGGGUAGCGUCAUCAACCACCAGAGCUGCAAACUUUGACAUGGGCAUGUUAAGGAUAAAACGUGCAUCACGAGAAUUGAUUUUCACUGUAGUAAUCCUGAAGCAUCGCUUUUCUUUCCAUUGGAGUGUGUCUGCAGCCAUGCCUGAUAACCUACAUACACACGAUGCCAAAGAUUAACGAAUUCGCUUUCGCAGCUGUGUGAAGGAAAAGCAAGAAAAACAUGGCACUCGUCAAUUCAGCUCACGAAAAUGGGAUCGAGAGUAGGAACUUAUAAAACAAAUCGAAAUGAGUGUUCGACCUCACAGGAAAUUUACGUAGGGUUAACAUGAUUACUGCUGGAAACACAAACGUGAUAUUGUUUUUUGCUUGUGUAGCAACGGUCGUUAAUCCUGGAUUCCAACGACCCUCGACGCAUUCUUGCGUUUCACAUCAACGUGGAGUGAAUGUCCCGGGGGAGGGGGGGGGAUUUGACUAUGUCAACCCUGGUCAAUUCGUUUGAAUUGGGAGAAGUGCGAUUUUACAGACACUGCGAGAGUAGUUUCUUCGUCGAGACGCAGCAAGGACUAUGGGAAGUUCCUAUCCAGAACGUCAUCAACGGUACUUUUAAUAGAAUAACUUGCAUUUGCAGACAGUUUUGAUGGACUCAACGGAACUCAGCAUUCAUUGCACAUUUCAAAAGCCUAAUCUCUCGAGCUUUCCUGGCCUUGCUCAUUAAUAGACAAUCAAGCAAUCAUCAUGCCUGUUAAGUUUUUGCUGGAAUAGGACGAUAAGUAAAAGGCAUAGAGUACGAUGGUGUCGCUGUGAGCCAAACAACAAGGCAGCUUGUUGUUCAUGUGCAGGAAAACAGGAUGCAAAGUGUAGUAAUUCACAGCAAAGGCAGAAAGAGUAGUGACGAAGGUGAGUUUUGAGAGGUAUUUAUGACCAAGC